UACGGGGGGAGCAAGCGUUGUUCGGAAUCACUGGGCGUAAAGCGCACGUAGGCGGAUCUUUAAGUCAGGGGUGAAAUCCUGGAGCUCAACUCCAGAACUGCCUUUGAUACUGGGGAUCUCGAGUCCGGAAGAGGUGAGUGGAACUCCGAGUGUAGAGGUGAAAUUCGUAGAUAUUCGGAAGAACACCAGUGGCGAAGGCGGCUCACUGGUCCGGUACUGACGCUGAGGUGCGAAAGCGUGGGGAGCGAACAGG
rnacentral:rRNA from 1 species